rnacentral:rRNA from 1 species
AUGGUCUCGGAACAGCUUCGUCAAUAUGAGUUGAAGCAAAGCAAGAAGAAGUUGAGGUUUGAAAGUGACUCAAAAGAGUUUGCAGAGAAAGAGAAGCAGAGGAGAGCUGCAGAUGGUGCCAAGGGUGCCAAAUUUGCCAAGGUGAGGAAGCCUUCUUUGCAGAAGAAGAGGCUACUGUUGCUGAGGAAGGUGGUACACCUCGGCGGAUUCCACGUGUUGCUGGCAUGA